ensembl:lncRNA
GUAUAUACGGGACAGGAAAAUGUGAGUGGUUUCUCUUUCUGUCUGUGUGUGUGUAACAGACGGUUGUACAGCGAGUGCUGUGAUUGCAGUCUACCAGGCUGUAUUUAGUACCAAAAGAUGCUUUUCUGAGAGUGCUGAACAUAACAACUUGAGAAAAGAGCCCUGGCUGCAGGCCUGAGGAAGGCAGACACUGGAAUACAGGCUGGAAAAGGAAGGGCCAUCUGUGUAUGCCUGCUAAAGAACCAAAGAAAAAGAGAGAGGAAAAAAGAAAGAAGAGUGAUUACACAAAAGGCCCUGGACACCAGUGAGUCACUGGGUACAUUGGUGGGUGACCAAGGAGAGAGAGAACUACAGAGGAAGGGAGGGAUGGUGGUGCGGCAGUAUGGAUGGGCGGAAAGCUGGAUGGGUAAAGAGAAUGAAAAGACUGUGGAGCAGAAAGAAAAACAGAGCUACAGAAAAACAAACCCUGACAUCAUGGAGCAACUUGGAAACUGAAUGUAGGUCAAACCCAACCUGGUCUUACUCUUAAUGUUACACAUAAGACACUUUACCAGGCAGAUGAUCAGAUCAGAUGGCUAAGGCAUAAAUAUAUAUUUAACGGAAAUCUGAUCAAAACAUCAAACAGUGUGCUUUUAACACUAUUCUUGUUUUAAAGGGAUAGUCACCAUUUAUAAUGAGCUCAAGCUGUGCCAAACCUCUAGAGUUUCUUUCUUCUCCUGAGCUCAAAAGAAGAUAUUUUGAAGAACGUUGGUAACCAAGCAGUUUCUGGUCCCCAUUGACUUUCAUAGUAUAUUUUAUAUUAAAGAAACAAAUACAGGUUUGGAACAAUUUGAGGGUAAGUAAUUGAUUAUUUUCAAUUUUGACUGAACUAUCCCUUUAAUUUCUCUAGUUUGGCCUCUCCAUCAAGAUGAAAGAGCACUGAAACAUCCAGCGUUUGAGGCAAUGUGAAAAACGACUGACUCACGCUUAUGAAUGUCAAUUCAGGGAUUGUUUUUUUUUUUUUUUUUGCUGGCUCUCUGAAGGUUACCCUGACACACAUCCAUUGUAAAUGUCAACAUGCAAAUCCGCAGACACACACACAUGAGAUUAACACCAUGAGGCAACAAUAUGAGGUGGCUGUGUGUCAGAGAUUCAUCCUGUGAGAUCACCGCCAUAUUGUUUUACUUUAGAAAAGCAGGAACACAUGUAAUGAUGCUUACAGUAUAAACCGCCGAUUACACAAGGACUUGAAAAGAGCUGCCCACACAAACAAUGUGCCCCUAGCGGGUCAACAUCAUUUACACAGAGAUAUGGAAAUGAAACUCUGUUGACAUAUAAGACUCCUCGGGAAGAUUGUGUGUGAAAGGUUGAUUAAUUCUGUAGCGUCACGGAUGCGUGGCUGUCAGUGCCUGAUGGCCGUGGGUGGCUGAGCUGCAGAGAAAAGGAUUCAGAUCAUUAGCGAAACCACAGGUCAUUUACUGAGCCCACAGUGUGAUCUCUAUGACACUAUUCUUCAAUGUUAAAACACUGUAUCCACAGCUUGUGUCUCCACGGGCUUCAAAUAGCCCAGAUGUGGAGGGCCUGGAGAGAUGCAGCUCAGGGGGUACAACACAUUAGUGUCUCCAUGAGCCAUUUGCCAAAGAGUGCAUGUGUUUUCUGGAAAUGCAGUAAUAUUUCAUUUGGAUGACAGAACCUUUGAUAUUUAGUUUGGCCAUUUUAAACUAUUUAAGAUCAUUAUGUAGACAUUAUGUUUGUGGUUUAAAUAAGUUAAGUCACAAAUUCAUGGAUCUGGUAAUGCCAAACAGUUUUGGUUCCUAUUGACUUCCAUUUUAGUUUUUGUUCUUAGAAAAACCAAAUAACUAAAGAAAAUCAAUAGGAACUGAAACGGUUUGGUUACCAACAUUGUUCCUCAGAAGAAAGGAAGUUACAUAGGUUUGUAUCUGACGCCCGGCCCAAGACUGAGUACUCAGUGACAGAAUUUUCAUUUUUGAGUGAACUAUCCCUGCAAACCUUCUCUUAUUAUUUUGUAUUCUUUAUAUUUUAGACAUUAAAUUAUUGACAUUGUUUCCUAACAAAAUGUAAAAAAAUAAAUAAAUAAUGAUAAUAAUAAUAAUAAACAAAAUAAAAUAAAUAAAAACAAAUAAAAUAAAAAAAUAUUACAAUUAAAAUGAUGUAUCAUCCCAUAUGGAUGUUUGAGCAGAUUAUAGUUUUAAUUAUGACACGGUCAUACUGGAUUAAUAAUGACAAUGAAAUGUCAAGCAGAAAUUAUAUUUCAUAUUUGUUACAGUUUAAGUAUUUUAUCUCUGUCUCUCUCUCUAUCUAUCUGUCUGUCAGAUGAGAUAAUAAAAAUGAGCAUUGCUUGUUUAAACACAAUUGCUUCUUGCUACUUGUAACCCCCCCCCA